AACGCGAAGAACCUUACCAACCCUUGACAUCCUAGGACAACUCCAGAGAUGGAGCCUUCCUUCGGGACCUAGUGACAGGUGCUGCAUGGCUGUCGUCAGCUCGUGUCGUGAGAUGUUCGGUUAAGUCCGGCAACGAGCGCAACCCACAUCCUUAGUUGCCAGCAGUUCGGCUGGGCACUCUAGGGAAACUGCCCGUGAUAAGCGGGAGGAAGGUGUGGAUGACGUCAAGUCCUCAUGGCCCUUACGGGUUGGGCUACACACGUGCUACAAUGGCAGUGACAAUGGGUUAAUCCCCAAAAACUGUCUCAGUUCGGAUUGGGGUCUGCAACUCGACCCCAUGAAGUCGGAAUCGCUAGUAAUCGCGUAACAGCAUGACGCGGUGAAUACGUUCCCCGGGUCUGUACACACCG
rnacentral:rRNA from 1 species